GAAUCUUUCUUUUCGCUAAAAAGUUGUUCCCGCCCUGCCCAGAGGCAUUAUGAUUCUUUGGGCAAUAAUAUUCUUCGUACGGCAGGCCACUGUGGUGAAGGGUCAUCCGAUUGUUGCAGAUGCUUUGAAGAUAGAGGGAGAGCUACAUACUGACUUUCAUACAGUAGAGAAAGAAAAAGAGAGAAAGAAGAUGAGAGACCUUACAAGAAGACCCCGUUAUCUCUCUGUCUCUCUCUCUCUCUCUCUCUUUUUGAGCAUUAGGAAAACCCUGUCAUAUCUGUGGCCCGUGCUCUCUCUCUCUCUCCAUACCGAUGCCCCUGCUCCCCUAUCUCUCUCCUCUGUAACCCCUCUUUCUUUUAUCUGUGAUUUCUCUCUCUUUUCAAACCCUAGCCCCCAUAUUUGUCACAAGCUAUUCUUUCUUACUCUCUUCAAGCCCUAAACCCCAUCAAUGCGCCCUCUCACUUCGAGCCUGGACUUCAUUUCCAGUUGGGAGCACGAGAGUUGAAAAGGUCUGUUGUAAUUAUUCCUUUUGCCAAAUGAUCUAAUGUUGGACAAAUGAUUUGUAGAACUGUUUUUAUUUCAAUAAUGAUAGACACCAGCUGAACGCCAUCAAGUUUUAUGGAUGGAUGGUGUUGGAGAGACAGUAAGGUCAUCCAAGACAUGAAAGGACCCAGAGUAGUAGGUCUCCCUCUCUCUCCAACCUUGUCCAUCCUUCAAAUCAAUGGUGUUAGGCUGGUCUCUACCCUAUAUAGGUACAUUUGGAUCUACUUGAUCAUUUCUCUUAGACUAAUAUAUGUUUCUUAUAUCGUGAAAUAGAACCCUAAUAUCAGGUUGUAGUAUUUAUAGUUCAAAUUGGAAAUAUUUAUGAUGGGACAAUUUACUUUUGAUACAAAAAGGUCUCAAUCAUUGCUAACCUUUGGAUGUGAAAUCGCAUGGGUGGUGAUGUGUCACUAGUUGAGCACAAAGUCCAAAACAAAUUUUCUCAAAAGUUGUGAUACAUUUUAAUAUGCUAGAUUUGAGUCUUGUGCUGUUCGAAUCUUCAUGACCAUGUGCUUGUAAGUUUUAUGUGUGUUGAACACCGGAACCUAGAAUCGUUGGCAUCUUGAGGGACAUGGGUAAACUUCUUGAGCAAUUCCAUGUUAUUACUUUUUGUUGUUUACAUCACAUUACCAAAAGUAUCUAUUGGAUUUGGAUCUGGUGUGUCUGUUAUAUUUUUUAUGGCACUAGUACAUAAUCUUCUUUUUAUUCAGAUUAAUGGAGUGGAUAGUCAGGACAUGUGAUGGCUCUUCAUGCUGCUCACAUGAAUUAUUAUCAUAGUGAUUCUGAAGGUCUGAUUAAGCUGAUUGGCUGUUUCUGUUGACCAGAAUACAACCUAACUCAUGGUUUCUGUUUUUCAAUGUACUCUGUUGUUUAUCACCAAUAGUUUAUAUUACAUCAUGCAUGUAAAAGAUCAUCUCAUAAAUUGCCAGGACUCUUUACUUUAUUUGUAAUUGAUAUACUUGAUAUUUAUUUGUUGAAUUCUUAAUGUGCAGCCUAUUGUUGGUGGAAGUGCUUGAGCCUUUACGGACUUUAUUUUGAAUUAGAUGUAUGGAGUCUCUUGUUAUGAAAUUGAUGUAAGAAUACGUGGUCUCUGAAAUUGAUGCAAGGAUAUGGGGUUUCUCUUAUUUGAGAAUGAUGUAAUUCUAUGGAUGUACAGGUCUCAACACUUCAUAUAAUGAGGGCCUCCCAUUUUUAUUUAAGUCAUAUCACCUUUUUUCUGACUAGGGAGUCCAUAAUGUAGUUAGAGAGAGACAUGGCAUUUUUUGAAGAGAAGUGGGAGCCGUUGUGAGAGUAGACAAACUAUUUGCUUUAGAGAGAGAGAGAAGGGGUGUUGUUUGUGGAACUAGAGAGAGAGAAGGGGUGCUGAUUUUGGAAGUGACCGAAUCUAGAUUCGGAUCCGGAUCCUAUAGAUACUUUUGGAUCUGGAUCCAAAUCCAAACAUUCUGGAUCCUAUAGGAUCCAAACCCAGAUCCAAAUCCGAUAUAUACUUUUUGGAUUCAGAUUCAGAUUUGGGUGGAUUCGGAUCCGGCCUUGAAAAUUCUCAACCCUAUAUUUAUUGGUAUUUUAUCAGUAAAUAUCAAGAAUUUGAUCAGAGAUUGACUAUCAAAAAAUGUUGUUGGUAAUUUUAUCAGUAAUUUUUAUUGAUACUGUCAAAAAAUAAUGAUAUUAUAUGUAACUAUGCUGAUCGGAAGACAUUAGUAAAUUUAUUGAUAUUUUCAUUUUACUACUGUUUAUCAGUAACUUUACUGAUAAAUCGGUUAAUAUGAGAUUAACGGAUGUUUAACUUAUGUAGGGGUGGGUGCGGUCAGUGUCUUUUAACUAUGUUGCUGUAAUCCAUAUUUAUAGUUACUUACAACGUAAAAUUGGCUUGUGUUUGUUUGAAUGUUCAAAUGUUGCUUUUUAUUGUGGUUUUAUUUCCUUAGAUAGGUUGGUUGUGUUGGUGAGGGAUAUGAAGGAAAGGUCUUUAUUUUUAUUUUUGCUUAACAACAUGACUUACUUUAUUACUAAACUUUGGUAUUUUUUUUCCUUGCUCUUGUUUUGUUUUAAUAUGCUUAUUAUUUUUCCCUUUCUUUAUUUACUUGCAAUUGGACCACAUUGCAAUUGGGAGCACAAUAGUUGAGAAGGUGUGUUGUAAUUAUUCUUUUUGCCAGAUGAUCUAAUGGACUGUUUCUAUAUUAAUAACGACAGAUACGAGCUGAACACCAGCAAGUUUGAUGGAUGGAUGGUGUUGGAGGACAAUGAGGUCUUCCAAGACAUGAGAGCACCCAAAAUAGUAGGUCUCCCUCCCUCAUCAACAUUUCCAUCCUUCAAACCAAUGGUGUUAGGCUGGUCUCUACUCUUUUUAGGUACAUUUGGAUCAACUUGAUCAUAUCUAUUAGAAUGAUAUAUGUUUCUUAUAUGGUUGAGGUUUGUAUAAGGUGUCAACCUUAAACAAUCACUGUAAGGUGCACCUCAAAAUCUCAUUAAAACAUUUAUUUUCAGUGCCAAAACUCUAAUCAUGCCUUAAAUUCUAUUUUUCACCCUAUAAUAAAAUUAAAAGCUCCGAAAAUGGUGCAAAUCGAGUAGAUCUAUGAGCACUCAAAAAUCUUGAAAAUGGACGGUCUAGAUAAUGUGUUACAAUAUGCACUAUUUUUAGAGUUUGAAAUUCGUUUUUUUCUUUCAUAUCCAUAUAUGUCGAGGUCAAGAUGAUCAAUGGGAGAAUUUUCUAGUGACAAAACAACCUUUUUCAAUGGGAUUUUUAGGUGCACCUUACUUCUACAUUAUAAGCCUUCUUAUAUUAUGAUAGAACCUUAAUGUAAGGUUGUAGUGUUUAUAGUUCAAAUUACGUUUACUCGUAUUAAUUAUUUACUUGUAUUUGCAGGGUUUACACUCAGGCAUUGGCGGUAUCGGAAAAAUAGAGUCCAAAUGCGAAAAGGGAUGCGCGAUACAUAUGCAGUGAUUGGUAUAACAUCGAGGUAUGUGUGUAGUCUGCAAGUGCCGUUUAACUUUUAUCCAGGUAGUCAUACUUAUGUGCGAAGAAUGUAUUAUUAGUGGGGAUGACAACUUCAGUUGAGAAGUUAGUUGGGGUGGGUUGCCGCAAGAGACUUCUAACUACAAAUGGCCUAACACAAUUUAAGAAGAUGUACCAAAUACAUGUCAUUGUCAUGAAACUAUGAAACUUCAAUUAGGAUUGAAAGAAAUUGGAUGGGAUUGUCUUGAAACUUAGAUUAGGAUUGAAAGAAAUUGGAUGUAAUUGUCAUGAAACUGCGAUUAGGAUUGAAAGAAAUUGAAUGUAUUAUAGAAAUUGAAUUUAUUAUGCGUGUGGAUGAUACUUGGGUUAGGUUGACUCAAGUCACUUCAAACAAUGGGUUGCCUCAAGACACUUCAAACAAAAUACCGUCGGCUGUUAUACCAGCAAUUUUGGGAUACUCACGAUUGUGAUGGAAGCAAUUUUGGAUUCCGAAAAUUGAAGUGAUUUUGGAUUCUGCCCUUAUAUAAUCGAUUUUGGGAUACUCAAUAGGGACUUAACACAAUGAUUUUGGGAUACUCAAGAUUGAUAGGGACUCAACACAAUGGAAGGAUCUACCGAAAUAGAUGUGAUGCAAUGUAAUAAGAAUCUAAAUAUGAUGCAAUGUAAUAAGAAUUUGCCAUAUAAAACUGUUGGUUGAAUCUAACACAUAAAACUGUUAGUUUUUUCUAUUGGGUUUGCUUUUCGUGUUUUUCAAAUAUGUAAAUAUAAAAAUUGAUUGAAAAGAUCCAUCUCACUCCAGUAAGAGUCGACUGGAGAGGGAAUUUGUUGAGAUUGUUGAUGUUGUUGUGUUCUUGGGCCGUUCAUCUUCCAUUUUGCUAGUUGAUAACUAAAUGAAUUUGUUUUGAUUGUUGA